GAUGAACGCUGGCGGCGUGCCUAAUACAUGCAAGUCGAGCGAACGGACGAGAAGCUUGCUUCUCUGAUGUUAGCGGCGGACGGGUGAGUAACACGUGGAUAACCUACCUAUAAGACUGGGAUAACUUCGGGAAACCGGAGCUAAUACCGGAUAAUAUUUUGAACCGCAUGGUUCAAAAGUGAAAGACGGUCUUGCUGUCACUUAUAGAUGGAUCCGCGCUGCAUUAGCUAGUUGGAAAGGUAACGGCUUACCAAGGCAACGAUGCAUAGCCGACCUGAGAGGGUGAUCGGCCACGCUGGAACUGAGACACGGUCCAGACUCCUACGGGAGGCAGCAGUAGGGAAUCUUCCGCAAUGGGCGAAAGCCUGACGGAGCAACGCCGCGUGAGUGAUGAAGGUCUUCGGAUCGUAAAACUCUGUUAUUAGGGAAGAACAUAUGUGUAAGUAACUGUGCACAUCUUGACGGUACCUAAUCAGAAAGCCACGGCUAACUACGUG
rnacentral:rRNA from 1 species